rnacentral:rRNA from 1 species
GACGAACGCUGGCGGCGUGCUUAACACAUGCAAGUCGAACGGAAAGGCCCUGCUUUUGUGGGGUGCUCGAGUGGCGAACGGGUGAGUAACACGUGAGUAACCUGCCCUUGACUUUGGGAUAACUUCAGGAAACUGGGGCUAAUACCGGAUAGGAGCUCCUGCUGCAUGGUGGGGGUUGGAAAGUUUCGGCGGUUGGGGAUGGACUCGCGGCUUAUCAGCUUGUUGGUGGGGUAGUGGCUUACCAAGGCUUUGACGGGUAGCCGGCCUGAGAGGGUGACCGGCCACAUUGGGACUGGGAUACGGCCCAGACUCCUACGGGAGGCAGCAGUGGGGAAUAUUGCACUAUGGGCUGAAGCCUGAUGUAGCAACGCCGCGUGCGGGAUGACGGCCUUCGGGUUGUAAACCGCUUUCGCCUGUGACGAAGCGUGAGUGACGGUAAUGGGUAAAGAAGCACCGGCUAACUACGUG